UCGUUGUUGUCUUUAACUUCUUAUCUUUAUCAUAAUUGAUUUUAUCUUCAAAAUAAUUCUGACAAGAGGAAUCUUCAAAAUCUUAUCUUCAUCAUAAUUGAACUUAUCUUCAACAUAAUUUAGAGGUCUAUGAUUCCAUAACAAUCAUCUUCAUUAUUAUUUUCAGAAGUGCUAGAAGCACUAUCACUUUCAGAUAAAGCA
rnacentral:lncRNA from 1 species